AUGACUUCUCUCAACCUGAGACAUGGAAAUCGGGGUCAGAGAAAUCAUCUGCUCAGCUAUUGACCCGGUUUGGAAACUCUUUGAUUCUGCUGAGUGUUGGACUGCCCAAGCUGCUUUGCUCUCUACUUCCUGGAGAUGGAGGAUAAAAAAAAAAAAAGCUGCACAGCAUGGCUGCCACAGUUACCUUAGGAAC